AUAUUUUUAACAAAUUUCUUUAUGUAUUGUUUAACGUUGUUUUUAUUUGUGGAAAAUUGAAUGGAAAAAAAAUGGUGUCCCAUGGUGGCCAGGAUUGCGGGCGCAAAUUUUACCUCAAACAAAAAUUUCAAAUGGUUUAUAAAUCUGAAGGAAAGCCGCUAUGCUCCUAUCUAG